GAUGAACGCUGGCGGCGUGCCUAACACAUGCAAGUCGAACGGUUAAACCGGCUUCGGCCGGAAAUAAAGUGGCGAACGGGUGAGUAACGCGUGACCGACCUUCCCCCCGCACCGGGACAACCGCGGGAAACCGCGGCUGAUACCGGGUACUCCGGGGCCUUCGCAUGGGGGCCCCGGGAAAGCUCCGGCGGCGGGGGAUGGGGUCGCGUCCCAUCAGGUAGUAGGCGGGGCAACGGCCCACCUAGCCGACGACGGGUAGCCGGGUUGAGAGACCGACCGGCCACAUUGGGACUGAGAUACGGCCCAGACUCCUACGGGAGGCAGCAGUGGGGAAUUUUGCGCAAUGGGGGCAACCCUGACGCAGCAACGCCGCGUGCGGGACGACGGCCUUCGGGUUGUAAACCGCUUUCAGCAGGGAAGAAC
rnacentral:rRNA from 1 species